GACGAACGCUGGCGGCGUGCUUAACACAUGCAAGUCGAACGGACAGGCCCUGCUUUUGUUGGGUUCUCGAGUGGCGAACGGGUGAGUAACACGCGAGUAUCCUGCCCCUGUCUUUGGGAUAACUUCAGGAAACUGGGGCUAAUACCGGAUAUGAGCUCCUGCUCCAUGUUGGGGGUUGGUAAAUUUCGGCGGUUGUGGAUAGACUCGCUGCUUAUCCGCUUGUUGGUGGGGUAGUGGCUUACCAAGCCUUUGACGGGUAGCCGGCCUGGGAGGGUGACCGGCCUCAUUGGGACUAAGAUACGGACCAGACUCGUACGGGAGGCAGCAGUGGGAAAUAUUGCGCAGUGGGCGGAAGCCUGAUGCAGCAACGCCGCGUGCGGGAUGCCGGCUUUCGGGUUGUAAACCGAUUUCGCAGGAACCGAGGCGGGAGUGACGGUAAUGGGUAAAGAAGCAACGGCUAACUACGUG
rnacentral:rRNA from 1 species